CUUGCCAACCCUUCCCCGUCUCUCUCUCCCCACUUGCUUCCCGUCAUAGUCUUCACUGUCGUGUCUUGGAAUAAGGCACAUAUAAGGCAAAAAGCCCAAAAAAUAUUUUUAAAAAGAAGUACUCUUACAGAUGUUAUUACAACACUAGGAGAAGAUGAAAAGGACGGCACAGAAGACAGACUGCUAACUUUUAACCUCUGCAUUCGUUUUUAUUGAAUGGAAUAUGAAAAGGUGAAUGAGGACUGACUGCUGUGUGUGGGAAGAACACCGUGCUCAUCUUGGUUUCCGUCCAUUCACCGUCCUCAUGACUCAUGAAUUCUUGGACAUCUUAAGGAACAGAACCACAGU